GAGGACGUGUUUGGUAAAGCAUAUGGACGUCAUGUGUGUGGGUUCGAUUCCCACCGUCCUCA
rnacentral:tRNA from 1 species